CAAAAUGUAGCUUAACUAAAGCAUCUCGCUUACACCGAGAACAUGCCCGUGAAACUCGGACCACUUUGA
rnacentral:tRNA from 1 species